GCCCGUGUAACUCAACAGGCAGAGCAGCCGCCUUGUAAGCGACCUGUUGUAGGUUCGAAUCCUGUCGCGAGCU
rnacentral:tRNA from 1 species